CCAGCANCCGCGGUAAUACGUAGGUCCCGAGCGUUGUCCGGAUUUAUUGGGCGUAAAGCGAGCGCAGGCGGUUAGAUAANUCUGAAGUUAAAGGCUGUGGCUUAACCAUAGUACGCUUUGGAAACUGUUUAACUUGAGUGCAGAAGGGGAGAGUGGAAUUCCAUGUGUAGCGGUGAAAUGCGUAGAUAUAUGGAGGAACACCGGUGGCGAAAGCGGCUCUCUGGUCUGUAACUGACGCUGAGGCUCGAAAGCGUGGGGAGCGAACAGGAUUAGAUACCCUGGUAGUCCACGCCGUAAACGAUGAGUGCUAGGUGUUAGGCCCUUUCCGGGGCUUAGUGCCGCAGCUAACGCAUUAAGCACUCCGCCUGGGGAGUACGACCGCAAGGUUGAAACUCAAAGGAAUUGACGGGGGCCCGCACAAGCGGUGGAGCACGUGGUUUAAUUCGAAGCAACGCGAAGAACCUUACCAGGUCUUGACAUCCCGAUGCCCGCUCUAGAGAUAGAGUUUUACUUCGGUACAUCGGUGACAGGUGGUGCAUGGUUGUCGUCAGCUCGUGUCGUGAGAUGUUGGGUUAAGUCCCGCAACGAGCGCAACCCUUAUUGUUAGUUGCCAUCAUUCAGUUGGGCACUCUAGCGAGACUGCCGGUAAUAAACCGGAGGAAGGUGGGGAUGACGUCAAAUCAUCAUGCCCCUUAUGACCUGGGCUACACACGUGCUACAAUGGCUGGUACAACGAGUCGCAAGUCGGUGACGGCAAGCUAAUCUCUUAAAGCCAGUCUCAGUUCGGAUUGUAGGCUGCAACUCGCCUACAUGAAGUCGGAAUCGCUAGUAAUCGCGGAUCAGCACGCCGCGGUGAAUACGUUCCCGGGCCUUGUACACACCGCCCGUCACACCACGAGAGUUUGUAACACCCGAAGUC
rnacentral:rRNA from 1 species